UCUCAUCAACCGGCACAGGGGCUGAGACCUUCUAACAACCUCGACCCAAAAAAGCCAUACGUCAUUGUGAGGGUAUCAGCCUCCAGCUAUGGAGCUGUUCUCAUAGCAGAUUGUCAAGUUGCUGUGCCUUGGUAUUCUAAGGGUUGUGGGGGUCACUUGCCUCUGCGAGAAACAUCUGUCCUGAGAUGAAGGAGCUGCUUUGCUUUAGGACCAGAUCUUGCAGACUUCAGUAUCGGAUGUGUUGCUGCAGGUGAACUUGGUACGUGCUGUUUGGAAUUAUGGAGAGGAAAUCCUUUUCAUCGUUUCAAAUUUUUGAGGGCAAACCCACACUGAUCCCUCAGUGUGCUUGGGCAGUCAGAGAUCCAUGAGAGCAGAGGUAAUGCAGCAUGUAGGAGCAAGUGUGUGCAUAUAGAAAUGGGGUGUGCAGAAGCUAGAAACAGCAAGUUCUGGAAUGCAGGAAGGCCCAUGCCUUUGGAUGGGGGGUGUGUGAUGGAGGAAAGGGACUGGCAGAAUUGACUCAAAGAUGGCCCUCGGCAAAGCAGGGGCGUCCAGGAUGGAGCAGGACCUGGGAAGAGAGGAGCAGAUGGAUGGCAGGUGGUGACAGAGGAGGAAAGUGAUGUCUCCCUGUUGCUGUUAGCAUUCUUUUUUCCUCACUUGAAUAUGUAUCUAUCUGACUGCAUAAAUCAUUGUUGAUAUCUGAUCUCUAUUAGGUGGUGGCUGUGCCUCCUAUCCAUCUUCCCUGGCCUUUAAUUGGGAGCCGACAGACAGAGUCACUUUCUGUCUCUGUCUGCCCUCAAAUGAGACAUUUCUCCAGAGGUUUCUCUGGAAGAAGAAACAAGGAUAUUUAAUUGAAAAAUGAUACAGCCCUGCUUAGCAGUACUGUAGCUAAGGCUGUGUCAGCAUCUCAAUUUUAAAUGACAUGUUUUGGGUGGAUAAUUUAUCUAUUUAUAAAGAUUCAAGUUCCUUCAUUCCAGUUUGGCACAUGGCGCUGGGUUAGAGCAUUCAAGGUACGCUUUCUGCUCUGCUGCUGCUAAAAAUCCCAAAGAAGUGGCAAGAAUGUGAAGGGAGAGAGUAUUUGGAGGACCGACAUCAGAAUGCAAAGCACUAAUGCUGAGGGAGAUGUCAUUUUCCAUCCUGGGAUCCUUUCAGCGAGCGCCGCUGGGAUUUCUGACUAUGUCUGAGAAAGUAUGGAUCCCAGGGGAGCUCAGAUUUUCUCCAUUAAAAAGUCUGUCAGUCUCACUCUUCUGAGCAGGUCUCCAGAGCUGUUAAUCUAAAAUUAGGGCAAGCUAUUGCACAGCUGACAAAUCCAAGUGCAACUGUAUUAGCUUCUGAUUUCAAGAUGCAGUCUUAAAAAUUAUACCUGUGGUAAUUAGUACAGUAUUAAAAACAUCAGUGUAAAUAGGGGGUUCAUUUUCUGGAACUGAAAGGAGGUCCUGAUGUGACACACUGUGUAAAGCCCGUGGUAGGGAGUGCUCAAGAUGAGUUAUGGAGCAAGGUUCUUUUUUAUUCACCAUCUUUACCGUUGCCUCUCCCCACUCCAUUUAAUGGGUCUGAUCUUAAAAUUAAGGCUCGAUUUGAGGCACUGCAGUGACUUGCAGAUCUUAGGAAAACGUUUCAUUGGCCAUGGGGCCGCUAUGCUGUGUACACAGGGAUGCUUGAGGAAAGAGAAAAGGAGGCAUGCUUCUGGCCUUACCCAACUUUGGUAGGGCGUGUGACUUAAAGACUGACGCAGCUGGUGAUGUAAUUCCAUUAUUACCGUGUGUGCGGGAACUGUUGAGUCACGGCCUGAACCACUGCUUGAGCACCUGGGCAAGGAUCAGCCCUGGGAGCACAGGUGAGGGCAAUUCAGCUGUGUGAUAGGAGGGGUGGAGCCUGGCUGCGCCUCUCUUAGGGCACUGAAGGGCUGACUGCCACUGGGGAAGGUUCUGUGCUUGGAGGUCCCUCCACUGGGCAGUUUUCCCUGUGAGGGUAGAUUUUCAGAGACCGCCUUCAGGGCAGAAGUUGGAGAACAACACGUGCCUGCAGGCUCAGUGGUGUCGGGGUCUUUCUGCACUUCCAUCCCUGCACUGAUCCACUGUGGAGUUAGUGUCACCUCCUCCCUCCUGUUCCCAUGUGUUUUUCAGACAACACGUCUGGAAGGCACUUUGCCCGUGCCUUGCUAUUUCACUUACAAAUGAAGUCCUGCUGUACUCACUGGAAGGAUGCUGUUAGUUAUUUUGGAGGAUAAACCAGAAGGCUGCAAUACUCUGCGAAGAGGUGCUUUGAGAAUCACAGAAUGGCAGUGCUAAGAUGUGGAGAAAACUGAGCAGUUAAUGCACGGCUGUGAGAAGGCACCGAGUGAUGAAUUUAUGGAGGAACAUUUGGCAGAUGUGAGACAAGCUGAAGGCUGAGCGGUGGUGUGUAAACCAGCUCAGAUAGAGGGACUGUUCUAGCAAUGGGUAUGGGAUGUGAUGUUUUAAAACUAUUGACUUUGGGCAAUGCAGUGUUUUAGGGGUUGUCCUGCUUGUUUUAGGGGUUGAUAGAUGGCUGCUUUAUUGGCUCUGAGCUGCCCACUGAGUACAAAUUCCUGGGCAGGAGUUCAUUGCAGACUCUGCAUGCCAAAUGUUCACAAGUAACCUAAUUUGGCAAGCUUACUUUCUUUUGGCACUCUUUGUGCACUGACACCAGGACUUCAGCAGGAGUGCCUGUCAGUGCAUCACAGUUCUUUGUUUUGAUCUGUGCAAUCUAGACAACUGCAGGGAGAGGGGAGGGAUGUCUGCCAGCAAGCAAGGAGGAUCUGGGGCAGGAUAGGUUCAGCUCCAACUGGAGCUCCAUCCAUGCAGUGGUAGGUUAGCACCGAGAACCACUCAGCCUCCCCAGUUAAUCCUUUUGUCUUCCCUUCCAUGCUCUGUUUGUCGCUGGCAUUCACAAAUCAUAUAAGCUCUCAAUAACGUA